rnacentral:lncRNA from 1 species
UGUGUGUGUGUGUGUGUGUGAGUGUGAGUGACCUCUGAGUCCACAUCCCUACCAUAUCAUGCUGGGAAUCUCACUCACUCCCCGGAAAUUUUAACAUUUUUCUGGAACAUCUCUUUAUUGUUGUGUUGAUCGGAGAUUCCUCCAUACCGUGGUGUGCAAGAAGUAUGUUAGCUUGGGGUCCUGUGAUCCACAGUGAGUGCUAAUAGGACUGGUGAAUAUGUUCAGAUGAUGUGAAUGGAGUUAUUUGUAAUUGAUUAAUAUUUUGGGUCAGGAAAGGUUAAGUACAAGGAAGUGCAAGUGCUAUACUUGAAUUUCUAAGUCUCUAAGAAAGAGACUGAAGAGGUAAACACAAAAUCAAGUGUCCAGAGAGAAUCCCUGGGGGAAACUGCUCCUUGGAGAGGAAGCCCAGACACUGACAGGAAACCUGCCCAGAACCUCCAUCUUCACCUGCUCCUGGGCCUUCAAGACAGAAGUGGUGAGGAGUGUGCACCCUCUGGUGGUCCUGAUCCCCUUCUACAGGGAGGUUUGUGUCUGGGCUCACACUGAGGUCCCCUCAUUGUGUCCCUUCACACAGUAAUACACGGCCGUGUCCUCGGCUCUCAGGCUGUUCAUCUGCAGAUACAGCUGUGUUCUUGGCGUUGUCUCUGGAGAUGGUGAAUCGGCCCUUCACAGCGUCUGCGUAGCUUGUGCUACUUCCGCUAGCAUAUAUCCAUGCGACCCACUGCAUCCCCUUCCCGGGAGCCUGGCGGACCCAGCUCAUGCUGUAGCUACUGAAGGUGAAUCCAGCGGCCACACAGGAGAGUCUCAGGGACCCCCCAGGCUUCACGGGGUCUCCCGCAGACUCCACCAGCUGCACCUCACCAUGGACACCUGCAGACACAACACAUCUUGGUCAGGAAACUGUCCCACAUCCCCUGUUUCUCACUCACAAACUCAAGGUCUCUUGUCUUCCAUGAAUUACCUUUUAAAAUAGCGACAAUGAAAACCCAGCUGAGCACAGACUCCAUGGUGAGUUGUCUGUAUUCUGUCCUGAUCCCUGUAUGGGGUCACCUGAGCAUCCUGGAACUGGUUUAAUCUGUGGAGGGAGGGCCUUAUUUGCAUGUCCUAUGACUAAAUAGUCAUCUCCAGACUUAGAUUUGAUUCUUUACAAGUUAUAAACAGGGAUUGCAUUAUAUCUGCAUUCAACCCUGUUU